rnacentral:rRNA from 1 species
AACGAACGCUGGCGGCAUGCCUAACACAUGCAAGUCGAACGAGACCUUCGGGUCUAGUGGCGCACGGGUGCGUAACGCGUGGGAACCUGCCCUUAGGUUCGGAAUAACUCCCCGAAAGGGGUGCUAAUACCGGAUAAUGUCUUCGGACCAAAGAUUUAUCGCCUUUGGAUGGGCCCGCGUUGGAUUAGCUAGUUGGUAGGGGAAAAGCCUACCAAGGCGACGAUCCAUGGCUGGUCUGAGAGGAUGAUUAGCCACGCUGGGACUGAGACACGGCCGAGACUGCGACGGGAGGCAGCAGUGGGGAGUAUUGGACGAUGGGCGAUAGCCUGAUCCAGCAAUGCCGCGUGAGUGAUGAAGGCCUUAGGGUUGUAAAGCUCUUUUACCCGGGAUGAUAAUGACAGUACCGGGAGAAUAAGCUCCGGCUAACUCCGUG